CACGUAGGGGCCAAGCGUUGUCCGGAUUCAUUGGGCGUAAAGAGCUCGUAGGCGGUUCAGUUAGUCGGGUGUGAAAUCUCCGGGCUCAACCCGGAGGGGCCACCCGAUACUGCUGUGACUCGAGUCCGGUAGGGGAGUGGGGAAUUCCUGGUGUAGCGGUGAAAUGCGCAGAUAUCAGGAGGAACACCGGUGGCGAAGGCGCCACUCUGGGCCGAUACUGACGCUGAGGAGCGAAAGCGUGGGGAGCAAACAGG
rnacentral:rRNA from 1 species